UGGCGGCCUUAGCGCGGUGGUCCCACCUGACCCCAUGCCGAACUCAGAAGUGAAACGCCGUAGCGCCGAUGGUAGUGUGGGGUCUCCCCAUGCGAGAGUAGGG
rnacentral:rRNA from 2 species